UACGUAGGGCGCAAGCGUUGUCCGGAAUGACUGGGCGUAAAGGGCGCGUAGGCGGACGGCUUUGUCGGGCGUGAAAUUCCAGGGCUUAACCUUGGGGCUGCGUUCGAGACGGGUUGUCUAGAGUUUGGAAGAGGGUCGUGGAAUUCCCAGUGUAGAGGUGAAAUUCGUAGAUAUUGGGAAGAACACCGGUGGCGAAGGCGGCGACCUGGUCCUUGACUGACGCUGAGGCGCGAAAGCGUGGGGAGCAAACAGG
rnacentral:rRNA from 1 species